ensembl:lincRNA
CAUUUAGCUAACCAUGCUACUUUUCCUCUUUUAUAUUCUCUCUGCCUUUAAUUCAGGUAACAGUGGAAAGCUGGAACUUGGCCAUUUUCCUGCACAGUCCCCUUAUGCAGAACCUUUUUCCGCUGAGGUGAAGGAAUUCCUCUGCUGCCAUCUAGUGCUUCUUAGAAAGACCUUUGCCAGUUUUAGUCAGAAAUGGACCUUUUACAAUAUUGAAUGGAUCUCAGAGAAGACACUGAGGGAGGCUAUAGCUCUCUAGGACUGAGAGAACAACUUAGCACAUGGGAUAGGAUUGGAUUGAACAUCACAGGCAUGAGUUCUCAGCCCAACCCUGCCUCAACUGGCUACAAGGCUUUGGAAAAGUCCCUUGAGAAAUGGAGUCUGGGCCUAGAAGGAGGAGAUGGCUCCAAGAGUCCUUCCAGCCUCAAACUACUAGGCUAUUCUUCCAAUAUUUAGGCUAGAAAUACUUCAGUUUUCAAGAUCUAGCCUUCAGCUGCAACUGAUGGCUAAAAUGAAGGAGCACUUUAAUGAUUUAAGAAGCUAUUCAGUUGUCAUAAAAAAGUAAUUUUGUUUCUUCCAAAGCUCCAGAUUAGUAUGGAGAUUUUUCUGCUGAGUCUUAUUUUUAAAAGGCAUUAUGCACAUCAAGACUGACAUAGCCAUAAGGAAUUGUAGAAAUUUUAAUAUCUGUUGAUGUGGAUGAGAAACUAAAAUUUCCAUAUUUAAAACUGUCAUUUGACUUUUAAAUGGAUC